rnacentral:lncRNA from 1 species
UGGAAUUUUUUGUAUUGUUUCUGUAUUUGUGCUGUUACAUUUUGCAUACCUCAAACAAACUUUUGGUGCUCCUUCUGAUGUAGAUUGAUUUCCUGGAUUAUUUGUCUGAGUUAACUCUUUUGCUCACAUUUUUCUUUUCUUCCUUAGGAGAAAGAUAUGUUAUAAGCCAAAACUCAAUUCCAAAAUGUAAAAUUUUUGAGAAUUCAUGGAAGUGGAAUCUGCAUUGGCUUUCUCAAUGAUAACAAGCUUCUCUAUUUUUAUUCUGGAAUUGAACUUGUCCUGGGUUGAAAAUGGACAUAUUUCAUUUCAUUGGACUCCUCACCUUGGAAUAAUCACAGGACCCCAGGAUGAGUUAAUU